rnacentral:rRNA from 1 species
UGCAUGUGUAAGUUUAAGUUUUAGUACGAGACUGCGAAUGGCUCAUUAUAACAGUUAUAAUUCACUUGGUAGUCUCUUACUACACGGAUAACUGUGGUAAUUCUAGAGCUAAUACGUGCAUAACAAUUCGACUUCGAAGAAGAAUUGCACUUAUUAGAUAUAAAACCAUCCUGACCCCUGGUCGGUACUCAUGGUGAUUCACAAUAAACGAGUGAAUCGRGGAAACUCGAUAGACCAUUCAAAUUUCUGACCUAUCAGCUCUCGAUGGUAAGAUAGAGGCUUACCAUGGCUAUGACGGGUAACGGGGAAUUAGGGUUCGACUCCRGAGAGGGAGCCUGAGAAACGGCUACCACAUCUAAGGAAGGCRGCAGGCGCGCAAAUUACCCAAUCCUGACAUAGGGAGGUAGUGACAAGAAAUAUCAAUGCAUGGUAUAUGCWGUGCAAUUGGAAUGAGAGGAAAGUAAAUUCUUUCUCGAGUAACAAUUGGAGGGCAAGUCUGGUGCCAGCAGCCGCGGUAAUUCCAGCUCCAAUAGCGUAUGCUAAAGUUGUUGCGGUUAAAAAGCUCGUAGUUGAAAACUUGUUGUAGCAGAUCAAUUUGUGCAUUCCACAAACCUGAUUAGCUUAACACUCCACUUUGACUAUUCUUCCGAGGGUAGUAUAAGGUGGCUGUUACUUUGAAGAAAUUAGAGUGUUUCACGCAAGCCGUCGCUUUGCAUAUACCAGCAUGGAAUAACACAAUACGACGUUGGAUUAUUUUGUUGGUUUACAUAUCCAGUGUAAUAAUUAAUAGGAACAAUCAGGGGCAUCCGUAUUCGCUUGUUAGAGGUGGAAUUCUUGGAUCUUGCGAGGACGAACUAAUGCGAAAGCAUUUGCCAGGGAUGUUUUCAUUAAUCAAGAACGAAAGUUAGGGGAUCGAAGACGAUUAGAUACCGUCCUAGUCUUAACCAUAAACUAUGCCAACUAGAGAUUGGGGAAUAUCAUUCACUGAUAUCCCCAGCAUCUUCUGGGAAACCAAAGUCUAUGGGUUCCGGGGGGAGUAUGGUCGCAAGGCUGAAACUUAAAGGAAUUGACGGAAGGGCACCACCAGGAGUGGAGCCUGCGGCUUAAUUUGACUCAACGCGGGAAAUCUCACCAGGUCCAGACAUAAGAAGGAUUGACAGAGAAACAGCUCUUUCUUAAUUUUAUGGGUGGUGGUGCAUGGCCGUUCUUAGUUGGUGGAGUGAUUUGUCUGGUUAAUUCCGUUAACGAACGAGAUCUUAGCUUACUAAAUAACUGCUUUUUACUUUAGUAAUAAUGUAGUUUCUUAGGAGGACUUUGUGCAACUAGUGCAAGGAAGUGUGAGGCAAUAACAGGUCUGUGAUGCCCUUAGAUGUUCUGGGCUGCACGCGCGCUACACUGACAGAAGCAGUAAGUUUCUUCUCCGAAAGGAGCGGAUAAUCCUAAAAUUCUGUCGUGAUGGGGAUAGUUUAUUGCAAUUAUUAAACUUGAACGAGGAAUUCCUAGUAAGUGUAAGGAAUAAACUUACGCUGAUUACGUCCCUGCCCUUUGUACACACCGCCCGUCGCUCCUACCGAUUGAGCUAUCCGGUGAAUUAUUUGGACUGGAACUAUUUCAUCUGAAAUAAUUCCGGGAAGUUUCGUGAACCUUAU